rnacentral:tRNA from 1 species
GAAGGGUAUAGCUUAGUGGUAGAGCAUUCGACUGCUAAUCGAGAGGUCCCUGGUUCAAACCAAGAUGCCCCCUUCU